UUGCUUGGAAGCUAGACUGUGACCUACAAAAGCUGGUAGACGAAUUUAGUAUACAACCUGCUAAAUUCACGUCCUUUUUGUUUGAAAACUACUUAAAAUACUUUGGUGCUUUGGGUGAUGCUCAAAAAACAGCCGAUAUUUUAAGCUUUUCAUUGGGUCUUUUAGAAAACUGGGAAAACCAUGAACUCCUACUGAUGGCUCUUUGGACAGCAGUUUCAGGUGUUAUGAUAUUCAAUGAACAUAAAGUUAGUAAAUGGAAUCAAAUUAAAGCACCUAGAAAAAUUGAAAGAAGAAUAAAAAGUAUUGAAGAGGGUCCUAGACUGCAUCCCACUGAUGGCUUCUAUUACAACAUACUAACGAAAUCAAGUAAAUACCCCGUGUUUAAGUAAAACUGUAAUUAUUAAUAUAUAUUUAUAAGAAUAAAUCUUAUCAAAUACAAACGCCAAAAAAA